rnacentral:tRNA from 1 species
GGCAGUGUGGUUUAGUGGAGAGAGCGCUGGACUGGGACCCAGGAGACCUGGGUUCUAUUCCCAGCUCUGCCA